rnacentral:rRNA from 1 species
UAGGGAAUCUUCGGCAAUGGACGAAAGUCUGACCGAGCAACGCCGCGUGAGUGAAGAAGGUUUUCGGAUCGUAAAACUCUGUUGGUGGAGAAGAACGUUGGUGAGAGUGGAAAGCUCAUCAAGUGACGGUAACUACCCAGAAAGGGACGGCUAACUACGUGCCAG